AUGCACGCUGGCGGCGUGCCUCAUCCCUGCCAGUCGAGCGAACGGACGAGAAGCUUGCUUCUCUGAUGUUAGCGGCGGACGGGUGAGUAACACGUGGAUAACCUACCUAUAAGACUGGGAUAACUUCGGGAAACCGUAGCUAAUACCGGAUAAUAUUUUGAACCGCCUGGUUCAAAAGUGAAAGACGGUCUUGCUGUCACUUAUAGAUGGAUCCGCGCUGCAUUAGCUAGUUGGUAAGGUAACGGCUUACCAAGGCAACGAUGCAUAGCCGACCUGAGAGGGUGAUCGGCCACACUGGAACUGAGACACGGUCCAGACUCCUACGGGAGGCAGCAGUAGGGAAUCUUCCGCAAUGGGCGAAAGCCUGACGGAGCAACGCCGCGUGAGUGAUGAAGGUCUUCGGAUCGUAAAACUCUGUUAUUAGGGAAGAACAUAUGUGUAAGUAACUGUGCACAUCUUGACGGUACCUAAUCAGAAAGCCACGGCUAACUACGUG
rnacentral:rRNA from 1 species